UUUUGCCUCCCUCAAAUCAUUUCCCAUUUACUUUGAUGAUAGAUCCCAUUUUUCUGUUGGAAUGCUACUCUUUCUGUGAUGUUUGUGGAACUAUAAAUUACAGUAUUCUGGCCUUGUACCCCCCUGACUGAGAUUUGAUCAUGUGCUUAAAGCUUAUCCAAUCAAAUUUCCCCUCCCACCAGGACUUUGAGUCUUAAGAGAGAUGACACAAGCAAAAUAAUAGGAGCUGAGUUAUUCCGAUGGUAGUGUCCCAAGGAAAGCAUAAGAGUUGGUGCAAGGACAUCCCCAAAAGUUCCCUGGAUCCUGUUGUCAAAGCCUAGUUAUUCAGAUUUUCCUUUGAUUCUGUAGACUAUCAUAUAUUCUUAUGUUCCCUUUUUGUUUGUAUGCAGGUUUCUGUCGCUUGCAACCAAAUGACAUUGAUUUCAGAAGCUGAUAAUAGAGUUAAAUAAUAGUAGAUUUCAGACCCUCAGGAACAUGGAGGAUCUGGAAUUGAUUAUUGCAUUGAGACUGAAUUAAAGGCAAUAACUGUUGCUCUAUGUCCCUGGAGAGUGAGGAGGUUGUGUAUGCAAUUUAUAUUGGCAAAACAGCAAGUAAAGAUACUUCCCCUUGUCAUUUGGAAUCAUAUGACUAUUGCAGGCAGAAUUUGGAUAGCCAGCUCGUUGUUGACAAUGGGACAAUUGGAAGUAGAUAAGACCAUUGAGUUAGGAUAGUUUCUUGGAUUACAUUGGAUAAUUUAAAAUGAGAGGACAAGGUUAGACCCAGAAACAGGUCUGUAGGCAUAGAGUAAAAUCUAGGGCCUUUCUGUGUCUUGGAUGAAUGAAUCUCUUCAUGCUUAAUUCUAAAACUACGCCUUAGAGAUUGAUUCCACAAAUUUAGAAAUUACAGUGCUGAUUGAAUUUGCAGCUUUACUGCAAACUUAAAGGGACUGACUGAUGGACUUUUGAUAUCUGGAAGGAGUCAAAAGACAUGGGAAAUCCCAAUCCCUAUAUAUCUCAGAAGUAAAAGUUUGGGUUUUCCUGUUAGUCAAAAACCCUUGGCUGAAGAAAAUAUACAGAAUCUAUAGUGAAGGAGGAAGAGAGAAGUACCAAAUACAGCCCUGUGACUUGUUGCAGAAAUAAGGUCUAUAUUAUAGACUUUACCCAUAUCUCUUUGUUUACCUCGUUUUUUUUUUUUUUUAUCCUUCUUCUUUCUCCAUUUUAGUACUUUGCGUCUCACUUCCUGGCUGAAGUUUAAAUAUGAUCCAAGUUAAUGUAAUCAGAUUUACCCUCGAUUCAAAUAGACAUUCUGCUGGCACUGUGCCUUCACUAAUAUAUGUGAAUAUGUUGGUGAUGGUUAAAUAUAGCAGUAAAUCCAUAAUUGUAGAUUAUCAAGAUGAGGUUAAGAACUAGAGUAGGAUGAAUAUCACCUAGAAAUCCUAGACUUGACACUGGAUGUGAUAACGAAAUUAUUUUAGGUUAUCUUCCUUGGGAAGAAAAUGAAUCCAUUUCCUGCAGUAUGUUGAAUGGAGGCAUUUCUAAAAUUGUUCAUGUUGAAGAAUGCAUUGCUGGACAGCCGAAGAAUAGAACCUAGUGGACAUCUGCAUUUAUUUGCCUACCCAGGUCUUUUUCCUCCUCCUUUGGGAAUAACACUUCACCUUUCCUUUGAGAAGCUACCCUUCUCCCACGCUACCAAAAGAUAAUAUGUAAGAAGCAUAGGAGUUCCUGUUACUGAGAUUUCCUCAGUUGCCCAGGUUCCUGAUUUUCUUGAAUGAUAAACUCUAAUUUCGUGAACUGCCUCAUAUCCUUUCAGUGGAUUACAUUGGUUAGGCAGGCUGCUACAUAUGGCUGUACAAGGUUUCCCCUGUACAACCAUAUGCAGAGGCCCUGUAGCCAGCCUUGAUUUUUGUUCCUUUCAGUCAGAGACCCUAACUGAAUCACUGUCCUUCCUAUGCGUUAGGCCUUCUUGCCCCAUAGACUCUGAAAAAUCUCAUCUCUUCCCAUGGCUUUAGUUUCCAACUGUUGAUAGCUUCCAGAUUCCUGUCUUCAGCACAGACGUAUUUCUUGAGUUCCAGAUCUGAAUGUCCACCUUUCAUCUGGAUAUUCCCCUGCUUGAUUAGCACAUAGAUACCUCACAUUGACCCCAUUAUUUUUCCUUCAAAAUUCUGUUCUCCCAGUGUUCCCAUUUCUUGAUAAACAACACCACCCUUCAUCUUGUUUCUCAAACCAGAACAUGCUCAUUAUUCUUGAUGCUUCCUUACCUUCUUUCUCACCCAGGCAUCCCUAUGAAUCAUUAAAUUCUUUUGGUGUGUAAAUAUACCUCAAAACCAUCUUCACUUCUAUCACCCUUGCUAGGACUAUUGCAAAGCCCUUCUAGUAGUGUCACUGCCUCUACUGUUGUCCUACUACAGUCUGUUCUUUACAGAGCAUCUAGAAUAAUCUUUAAUAGAUCUGAUUGUGUCACGUCUGUGCCUAAAACUCUUUAAUAGUUCCCCAAGUUGUUUCAGAAUAUCAUCUAAACUUUUAUUCUGGAACUUUACCCUUGUUUACAAGGUUCUUCAUUAUUUUGCUUUUCAGGCCUCAUCUUUCACCACUCCAAACAUGGCAGUUCAUUUUUACAUAUUGGAGUUACCUGUAAUAUUUCAUUUGAAAAAGGAUUCUACCUUUUUUAAAAAGAAGGGUUGCCAUCCUGAACUGUCUGGCCUUCAAGGCUGAGGGAAAGUAGCUGAAAUCAGACCUAAUCGUUAGGUCAGGGAAAUGGGCUGAAGCCAGAUUUCAUCAAGCAGCAAGCACUCAGAGCCUGUGGAGCCCUGGGCUCAUCCUUGUCAUUCUCCUGAGACAACGAUAAUGGAACAGAAACAUCCCAGUCACACUUGCAAGACUCAACGACUGGCCUCUUUGAACAGGAGCUCUGAUUUCUUGAGUUCUGAAGAUGCCUGGGAAUGUUUGGCGUUGGGGAGAAGAAAGUUUGUUCGGAGAAAGUAUUCAAGUGCAGACGCUGUUUUACGUGGUCCAGGACUCGGGAAGACAUACACAGAUCGGGGCUUCACAGCCUUCAGGGUUGGUAUGGGGAUAGGAUGUGGGACAGGGAGUUGUGAGUACGGGAGGACCAAUGAACUCAGACGAUACGCUGGUCACAAAGAUUGGUUGACAUGCUCAGAAGACAGCAGUGACAGUCCUCAAAGCAGCAUUCAACUUCCAUCUCAUCUUCGGAACACAUGGAUUGUAGUGUGCUAUGACUUAACAUUUUAAAAUAAAUCCUCUGGUUCUCUUGUGGCCAGUACAAUUGCAUUGCAGUA